rnacentral:rRNA from 1 species
UACGUAGGUGGCAAGCGUUGUCCGGAUUUAUUGGGCGUAAAGCGCCCGCAGGCGGCUUGAUAAGUUUCAGGUGAAAUCUCCCGGCUCAACCGGGAGGGUGCCUGGAAAACUAUCAGGCUUGAGUCAUGGAGAGGGAUGUGGAAUUCCCGGUGUAGUGGUGAAAUGCGUAGAUAUCGGGAGGAACACCAGUGGCGAAGGCGGCAUCCUGGCCAUGUACUGACGCUCAGGGGCGAAAGCGUGGGGAGCAAACCGG